AGCGAACGCUGGCGGCAGGCCUAACACAUGCAAGUCGAACGGAUCCUUCGGGAUUAGUGGCGGACGGGUGAGUAACACGUGGGAACGUGCCCUUUGGUUCGGAACAACUCAGUGAAACUUGAGCUAAUACCGGAUGUGCCCUUCGGGGGAAAGAUUUAUCGCCAUUGGAGCGGCCCGCGUCUGAUUAGCUAGUUGGCGAGGUAACGGCCCACCAAGGCGACGAUCAGUAGCUGGUCUGAGAGGAUGAUCAGCCACACUGGGACUGAGACACGGCCCAGACUCCUACGGGAGGCAGCAGUGGGGAAUCUUGCGCAAUGGGCGAAAGCCUGACGCAGCCAUGCCGCGUGAAUGAUGAAGGUCUUAGGAUUGUAAAAUUCUUUCAGCGGGGACGAUAAUGACGGUACCCGCAGAAGAAGCUCCGGCUAACUUCGUG
rnacentral:rRNA from 1 species